ensembl:lncRNA
ACCACAGCCAUAGCAAUGUGGGAUCCAGGCUGAGUCUCUGACCUAUACCACAGCUCAUGGCAACCCCGGAUCCUUAACCCACUUAGGGGAGCAAGGGAUCAAACCUUCGUCCUCAUAGAUGCUAGUCAGACUCGUUUCCGCUGAGCCAUAAUGGGAACUCCAAAAGACUAAUAUUUCUGUAAGAGAACUCCUUUGAGGAGUUCCUGUUGUGGCUCAGCCGGAACAAACCUGACUGGUGUCCAUGAGAAUGCAGGUUUGAUCCCUGGCCUUGUUCAGUGGGUUAAGGAUCUGGCGUUACUUUGAGCUGCAGGGUGUAGGUCAUAGACACAGCUUAUAUCCGGUGUUGCUGUGGCAUAGGCUGGCAGCUGCAGCUCCGACUCGACUCGUAGCCUGGGAACUUACAUAUGUUGCAUGUGCAGCCCUGAAAAAGAAAAAGAAAAAAAAAAGAAAGAAUAAAUGAAUAAAAGAAAGAGAAAGAAAGAACUCCUUUGAUUGCAUGGACAGAAAGUUUAUGAGCCAAGCCUGUGAUCAGCGAUCACAAUAAAAAUCUCAGGUUUCUGUUAUUGCUGGAAAAUGUUCACAGCAGUACCAGUAGAAAUCAGACCAUGGAAAGACAUUUUGAUAGAGCAGGAUCUACUUUAAAGAAUCUAAGACCUUAGAUGUCCUUUCCUGCAAUAUCACCUCUUUUAAGCCAUAAAUUUUAAAAAUUAUUAAGGGUUGAAUUGUAUCCCUCUCUACCCCUCCCCAAAACAAAACCCCCUUACUCCGAAGUCCUAAUCCCCGGUGCCUCAGAAUAUAACCUUAUUUGGAAAUAGGCCUCCAGGACUGUGAGACAAUGCAUUUCCGCUAUUUAAGCCACCCAGUUGUAGUGUUUUAUUAUGGCAGCCCUAGCAAAUUAAUGCAAACAUGAAGUGGUCCAUGUCCAUCCUAUCCUAGCAAAUAAACAUCUUCCCUUGUUUUGAUGACAUAAUCCUGUUGCAUUCAAGCAUCAGCUUAAAAAGGAAAUAGACAUCAUUAACCAUCAAGGAAAUAAAAACCACAUUGAGAUACCACUUCAAACCCAAUAUGAUGUCUGUAAUAAACGAGUUAGAUAAUAACAAGUAUUGAGGAUGUGGAGAAACUGGAAUCAUCAUUUACUACCCAUGGUAAUAUAAAAUGGCACAGCUGUUUUGGAAAAACUGCCAGCGCCCCAGAUGCUUAAAUAUUUAAAUGAUAUAAACAUUAAAUUACCGUAUGAAUUUAUAUAUAUAUUUAUAUACCUAGGAAUUCCAGUCUAGGUAUAUAACCUAGAGAAAAGAAAAUGUGAGUCUACAUAAAACUUGUACAUGAAUGUUCAUAGCAGUAUUACUCAUGAUAGAGAUGAGGUAAACACAAUCAAAAUGUCCAUCGAUGGAUGAAUGGAUAAACAAAAUGUGGUACAUACAUAGUGUGGAAAUUGAAUGAGAGCAACAUAAAGUACUGAUUCAUGCUGUAACGUGGAUGAACCUAGAAAACAUUCUGCAUAAAAGAAGACAGUCACAAAAGACCACAUAUUGUGUGAUCUCAUGUGUAUGAAAUGUCCAAAAUAAGCAAUCUGAAGAGACACCAAGUAAAUUAGUGGUUGCCUAGGUUUGGGCAAAUAUGGGGGAUUAAGGGGAUGGUGAUUAAGGGGAGUAAGGUUGCUUUUGGGGUAAUGAAAAUAUUCUUAAAUUGAUUGUCAUGAAGGUUUUACUACUCAGUGAAUACAUGAAAAGCCAUUGAAUUAGGAGUUCCCGUUGUGGUGCAGCAGAAACUAAUCCACCUAGGAAGCAUGAGGUUGUAGGUUGGAUCCCUGGCCUUGCUCAGUGGGUUAAAGAUCCAGCAUUGCUGUGAGCUGUGGUGUAAGUCACAAUGGGGCUCAGAUAUGGUGUUGCUGUGGCUGUGGUGUAAGCUGGCUGCUGCUGCUCCAAUUAGAUGCCUAAGCCUGGGAACCUCCAUAUGUUGCAGGGGUUGCCCUGAAAACAAAAACAAAACAAAAAGCCAUUGAAUUAGACACUUUAAAUAGGUGAAUUAUAUUUCAAUAAAGAAAUUUUUUAAAAAUGGAAGACAGGUGAAAAAUUAUAAGGAGCAACAAUUGAUUGAUCAUUUAUUAUACUUGCUAUAAUUUAGGUACUUUUUUAAAUACUAGAUGUGAAGAAUGAUUAGGAGACUUAGGUUCCUUCUUACUUGUAGAGACAGAAUCAUUUAACAGCUAGCUUUAAUAAAAAUCAGGAGUUCCUGUCGUGGCACAGCAGAAACCAAUCGGACUAGGAACCAAGAGGUUGCGGGUUCAAUCCCUGGCCUCGCUCAGUGGGUUAAGGGUCUGGCAUUGCUGUGAGCUGUGGCUCAGAUCCCACGUUGCUGUGACUAUGGCGUAGGCUGGCAGUUGUAGCUCCAAUUCUGCCCCUAGCCGGGGAACCUCCGUAUGCCUCUGGUGCAGCCCUGAAAAGCAAAAAUAAAUAAAUAAUUAAAACAAAAAUCAAAAUUGUUAUUUGAAUUCAGAUGGGGGUGGAAUGAUUAAAUUCCUCUGCUUAGGUUCUCUAGAUCUUAAAAUUUUAUCAGAUACCUAUAUACCUAGAUCAUAUUGCUGAACUUUCCUUAUAAAAAUGUAAUUUACCUUCAUAGAAAAGGUGCCACUGUUUAAAGGUUGAGAAGCUUAAGACACAGACUAAAAUCUCCAGCUUUUAUUUCUUUUUCUUUCUCUAUUUUUUUCUUUUUUUUUUCUUGUCUUAUCUUUUUAGGGCUACACCUUCGGCAUUUGAAUGUUCCUAGGCUAGGGGUUGAAUUGGAGAUGAAUCUGGACACUAUAGCUACAGCAAUGCUAGAUCUGAGCCACAUCCCCCACUUAUGCCGCAGCUUGAGAUAACACCAGAUCCUUAAUCCACUGAGCAAGGCUAGGGAUCAAACCUGCAUCUUCAGGGACACUAUGUUGGGUUCUUAACCCACCGAGCCACAGCAGGAACUCUGCCUUUUUUCUUCCUUAAUCAAUGACUUUUAAACCCGCCCUCCUUCACUCUGGUUUAGAGUCCUAGAACUGGGAAUCUAGGACAAGUGCUGUUUUUUCUCACUUACUGUAUGCUGCUAAUUAGCAAUAUUGUUAUCUGAAUAUAGUAUUAUUUUGUUUUUGUUUUACUUCUGGUUUUUCAUUUUGGGGGUUUUGUGGUUUUUUGGGUUUUUUUGUUUUUUUGCUUUACUAAUGUGGAAGUUAUGAGCUCUAUUUUAUUUCUUUUAGUGAUUACCCUUUUUUACAAUGCAUCUUUAAUAGAAGAUUAGUGUCCUGUUCUCCUUCCCAAACAACACCAAGGUCUUUGAACUCUUAUCUCUCAUUUGUCUUCUGUUGCUUUAAUUAUAAGUGAUAGAAAUGCGAAGCAUACUAACCCAACAGAAGAGGAACUUCCUAACUUACAUGAAUGCUAAGUCCAGAAAUUAAGGAACACUUAGGUCCAGGCCCCAAACGGUAUAAUUUGACUCUUAUGUCCUCCCUACAGGCAUUCUGUGAACAACUUUAUCCAUUCGCCAGAAAAAAAUUGAGUGCCUAUAAAUUCUGCCUUACUUGGUCCUUGGAGAUCUUGGUCUCUAUAGGAAUGAGCUGGUGACAAGGAAGAUCUUAUGGCACAUCCUGAAUGAUCCAGCUUAAGUCACACCUUCAGCUCUGAACUGUGUCCAGUACUUUUUGUGUAUAGUAUAUGCCUAGGUCAUGUUCUCCCCCCUUGGGUUGGAAGUGGAGGUUCUUACACCUUGGGCUGGAAGUGGAGCCAGGGUACAGGGUAAGGCCACUGAGGAGUGAUAACAUGACCAGAGGAAAUAGAAAAACACCACAUUCGGUAGACAGAAAUAGCAGAAACCAUUAUGUAUGUAGUCAUCAUUCAUUGAACAAAAUACUGGACCCAUAUACGAAGGAAUGUAACAGUCCAAAAUAAAUUUUGACAUAAGAUCUUAGAAUGCAUUAAACCUAUAAUUCUUCAAAUUAAGACAUGGAGCGCUGGAGAAAUACACAUUUUUCAGUGCGGUAGAGUGAUUAAAUAAGUUGGGAUGUAUGGAUAAUAAAACCCUGGAAAUAUUGAAUUAUAGGUUAAUUAAUCAAAUGUUAUGCCAAUUCUUUAAGCACACAUCACUUUUCAUGUAUAAGUAAGGUAUAUUAUAUGGUGGCUAAGAUUGCAGACAGAUCAGUAGUAUCCAAUAGAACUUUGUACAGUGAUGGAAAUUUUCCAUCUUUGUACUGUCCAACAUGGUAGCCACUAGCCACAUAUGGCUGCUGAGCACAUUAAGAUGUGGCAGGGUGGAUUUCCCAUUGUGAUUUGGUAGGUUAAGAAUCCAGCUAGUAUGCCAGUUCGAUCCCUGGCCUUAGUGGGUUAAAGGAUCUAGUGUUGCUGUGAGCUAUGGUAUAGGUUGCAGAUGCAGCUCGGAUCCCACUUUGCUGUGGCAUAGGCUGGCAGCUGCAGCUCCAAUUAGACCUCUAGCCUGGUAACUUCCAUAUACCAUGGGUACAGCCCUAAAAAAAAAAAAA